rnacentral:rRNA from 1 species
UACGUAGGCAGCAAGCGUUGUUCGGAGUUACUGGGCGUAAAGGGUAUGUAGGCGGCCUGUUAAGUUCCGUGUGAAAUCUCCCGGCUCAACCGGGAGGGUGCGCGGAAAACUGGCGGGCUAGAGUGCGGGAUGGGAGAGUAGAAUUCCUGGUGUAGCGGUGAAAUGCGUAGAUAUCAGGAGGAAUACCGGUGGUGUAGACGGCUCUCUGGACCGCAACUGACGCUGAAACACGAAAGCGUGGGUAGCAAACAGG